UGGAGGGGCGGCAGGUAGUCUAGUGGUUAGAGUGUAGGGGCGGCAGGUAGCCUAGUGGUUAGAGUGGAGGGGCGGCAGGUAGUCUAGUGGUUAGAGUGUAGGGGCGGCAGGUAGUCUAGUGGUUAGAGUGGAGGGGCGGCAGGUAGCCUAGUGGUUAGAGUGUAGAGGUGGCAGGUAGCCUAGUGGUUAGAGUGUAGGGGCGGCAGGUAGUCUAGUGGUUAGAGUGUAGGGACGGCAGGUAGUCUAGUGGUUAGAGUGUAGGGGCGGCAGGUAGUCUAGUGGUUAGAGUGUAGGGACGGCAGGUAGUCUAGUGGUUAGAGUG